AUUAAGUCAUACCACCCUGAACACGCCCAAUCUCGUCUGAUCUCGGAAGCUAAGCAGGGUCGGGCCUGGUUAGUACUUGGAUGGGAGAAUAAUUAAAGUGCAGCAUUGGCACACUUAGCU
rnacentral:rRNA from 1 species